rnacentral:rRNA from 1 species
GUAGGGAAUAUUGGGCAAUGGACGGAAGUCUGAACCAGCCAUGCCGCGUGCAGGAAUAAGGUCCUAUGGAUUGUAAACUGCUUUUAUUCGGGAAUAAACCUCUUUACGUGUAGGGAGCUGAAGGUACCGAAGGAAUAAGCACCGGCUAACUCCGUGCCAGCAGCCGCGGUAAUACGGAGGGUGCAAGCGUUAUCCGGAAUCAUUGGGUUUAAAGGGUCCGCAGGCGGGCUAUCAAGUCAGAGGUGAAAUCCCACAGCUUAACUGUGGAACUGCCUUUGAAACUGAUGGUCUUGAAUUAAGUGGGCGUUGGCGGAAUAUGACAUGUAGCGGUGAAAUGCAUAGAUAUGUCAUGGAACACCGAAAGCGAAGGCAGCUAACGAUACUUAUAUUGACGCUCAUGGACGAAAGCGUGGGUAGCGAACAGGAUUAGAUACCCUAGUAGUCC